AGAGUUUGAUCAUGGCUCAGAAUCAACGCUGGCGGCGCGCCUAACACAUGCAAGUCGAACGAGAAAGCGGGAGCAAUCUCGCAAGUAAAGUGGCGCACGGGUGAGUAACACGUAAGUAAUCUACCUUUGAGUGGGGAAUAACAUCGGGAAACCGAUGCUAAUACCGCAUAAUGCAGCGGCAUCGCAAGAUGACAGUUGUUAAAGAUUUAUCGCUUAAAGAGGAGCUUGCGGCAGAUUAGCUAGUUGGUAAGGUAAUGGCUUACCAAGGCUACGAUCUGUAACCGGUCUAAGAGGACGGUCGGUCACACUGACACUGAAUAACGGGUCAGACUCCUACGGGAGGCAGCAGUCGGGAAUUUUGGGCAAUGGGCGAAAGCCUGACCCAGCAACGCCGCGUGAAGGAUGAAGUAUUUCGGUAUGUAAACUUCGAAAGAAUGGGAAGAAUAAAUGACGGUACCAUUUAUAAGGUCCGGCUAACUACGUGCCAGCAGCCGCGGUAAUACGUAGGGACCAAGCGUUGUUCGGAUUUACUGGGCGUAAAGGGCGCGUAGGCGGCAAUUCAAGUCAGCUGUGAAAUCUCCGGGGCUUAACUCGGAACGGUCAGCUGAUACUGUUUUGCUAGAGUGCAGAAGGGGCAAUCGGAAUUCUUGGUGUAGCGGUGAAAUGCGUAGAUAUCAAGAGGAACACCUGAGGUGAAGACGGGUUGCUGGGCUGACACUGACGCUGAUGCGCGAAAGCCAGGGGAGCAAACGGGAUUAGAUACCCCAGUAGUCC
rnacentral:rRNA from 1 species